UAACCCCCCCAAAAAAAGCUAAAAAGAAAAAGAGCGCCCUCUAGAGUUAGCUUAAUGACUUUCCCAAAAUGGCUGCGCCCAUCCGCACAAUCACGAAGAUAGAUGUUUAACAUUUCUACUUUAAUCUUGUGACACUGGACCUGCUGCUGAUAGUUCUGUCAUGGCUGCUA